rnacentral:sRNA from 1 species
GUGCGCCGCGGCUCCUAUGACUAAUUCCGUAUCUUGAGUUGGCGGAUAGAAAUUGACCCUAAGCACAUACUCUGCCGUGUCACCACCUAUACUUUGCGUGAACGUCUCACGCUGUAACCCUAAUCCCUCUGAUAACCAACCAAGAAUCUUCUCCGUUAGCCUCUUCAUAUGCUUUGUAUACUCCUCCGUCACCUCCCU